rnacentral:rRNA from 1 species
AUUGAACGCUGGCGGCAUGCUUUACACAUGCAAGUCGAACGGUAACAGGCCUUCGGGUGCUGACGAGUGGCGAACGGGUGAGUAAUGCAUCGGAACGUACCCAGAGGUGGGGGAUAACGCAGCGAAAGCUGUGCUAAUACUGCAUGUGAUCUGAGGAUGAAAGCGGGGGACCGAGCAGCAAUGUUUGGCCUCGCGCCUUUGGAGCGGCCGAUGUCGGAUUAGCUAGUUGGUGGGGUAAAGGCCUACCAAGGCGACGAUCCGUAGCUGGUCUGAGAGGACGACCAGCCACACUGGGACUGAGACACGGCCCAGACUCCUACGGGAGGCAGCAGUGGGGAAUUUUGGACAAUGGGCGCAAGCAUGAUCCAGCAAUGCCGCGUGCGGGAAGAAGGCCUUCGGGUUGUAAACCGCUUUUGGCAGGAACGAAACGGUGUCCGCUAAUACCGGGCGCUAAUGACGGUACCUGCAGAAUAAGCACCGGCUAACUACGUG